rnacentral:rRNA from 1 species
AUGUUGGACUGCUGCAACGGCCUCCUCCUCUGCCGCUGGUGCGACGCCUCCGCCCAAGGUGACGAGUUCCGUUAUGUCGUGUGCAAUCCCGCCACGGAGAAGUGGGUCGUGUUGCCGAGCUCCGGCAAGGCCACCAGCGAGGUGGCCACCGCACGCUUGGGCUUCGACCCAGCCCUGUCGUCCCAUUUCCAUGUGUUUGAGUUGGUAGAAGAGCAGGAUUCAAUCUUUCCCUGGGACCCUGACAUCGCUGGAGUGGCGGUGUAUUCUUCUGAAACUGGAGGAUGGGUUUAUAAGGAAAAGAGAUGGAACGAACAAAUUAGAUCCAUUGACCAUUGUUCAGCAUUUGUCUUUCUUGAUGGCUAUCUGCAUUUUCAAGCCAAUGCUCGUCGGUUAUCCAGUCAUCUAGCUGUGGUAGACACAGAGGGGGAAACAUGGAUGAGCUUCAGUGUCCCUGGUGGUUUGGUUGACGGUUUUAUUCAGCGGUCGCAGGGCCGGCUGCAUUAUGCCAAUUUUCAGAGAGGUGGAGAUAGUGUCAUUAGAUUGGUAGUUUAUGUUCUGAACGACUAUCAAAGCAGAAAAUGGAUAUUGAAGCACAGCAUCGAAGCUUCACACAUAUUUCGAGGGAUGGAUGCCUACCUUCUUGGUCGUUUUGGAUGGGCUGCGAUGGAUUUUGGUUGGAUUGCGAUUCAUCCGGAAUGCAACACGAUAUUCUUCACUGCUGGGUGUUAUACCACAUUCAUGUGCUAUAAUAUGGAUCUUCGACAAGUCAAAGUGAUCUCCAAUCUGGAAGAUGGCCAGCCGCCAUAUCUGCCAUAUGUGCCAUUGUAUGCAGAGUUACAGUCAUUGCACGCUUUAUAA